rnacentral:other from 2 species
AAAUUUCUGCGGUGUUCGUUAUCCUAAGUAAUUCAACCGACAUAGUAUUCAACGGGAGUCUGAGUUCGAUAAUGUAUGGCAUGCCUUUUUAAAAGGACGUCAAAAAUUAUCGACAGGACACCCACCUUGUAAGAGGCGGGUGUGAAUUAAGUAGGAAGACGGCAUUGUGGGAAUACA